AGCUGUGCAGUGAUGAGACCCUGGAAUGAGCGCUGGGCACAGCGCCCGAGUCAGACUGCGGAAGUAUUCCUUGCUGCCUUCCUUCUGAGAACAGCU
rnacentral:snoRNA from 1 species